rnacentral:lncRNA from 1 species
AGUUUAAACUUGCAUUUACCUUAUGAUAAGAGGUGUUGAGGCUGGGUGCAGUGGCCUCAGAAGAAUGGCAUGGCAUUCAGAGGGUGGUGUUAGCUCACUACAGAUAAGAAGGGUAUUCUGGUACAGGAAAAAAUCCAGGUGCGACAUCAUGGAAUGGUGUUGAGUUCAUAGUUUUAUCCUUUGGGAGAUGCGAUGCUGUUGGGGAAGCCCGUUCUUUUCCACUUUUUUCCUGAUUGUCUUCUCCCAAUGUCUUCACUCACUCUAAUUGUCUUCAUAUAUACUUUAUAUAUACUCUCUUAUAAUCAGUGAUGUUAACACUUUCUUAAAUGCUCCAAAUUGCCUGUUUAAAUAUUCUAGCUACAGCUUUAAAAUAAUUCUUCUAUUGUCUCUUAUAUUUACAGUUAUGGGCUGCAUAACAACAUUUCAGUCAAUGAUGUCUGUUUUAUUAGUCUAUUCCUGGAUUACUGCCACACUAUAUUAGAUUGAGUAGCUUUAAAAUUUAUUUUUAUGUCUAGUGACAGAAGUUCUUUGUCCUGAGUUUUCCAGUCUCCUCCAUUUUUGUGAUCCUCCUCCUCGAACUUACAAAAGCACUGUCACAUUCACAGUGCACUUGGUACUCAUGAUAACACUAUGAAGUGUUAUGGCAAAUAUUGCUAGUUGUUGCCAAUUUCUAUGUUCUUCUUCUAUAGUAACAGAAUUUCUGCUUUUUGUAUGGAAAUAAAAGCCACAUAUCCCAGCCUAGUUAGGUGUGGCCAUAUAGUUAAUUAUGGCCAAUGGGAUGAGAGUAGAGGUAAUGAGGUAUAAGUAGAGUUAGUGUUUGUAAAUUCAAUGCUCUGUCAACAAAUGGGGACAGCACACUGUCUCCACUGGCUGGAAUAAUGCUGGGCUUGAGAAACCUUGUUCUAGGU